rnacentral:rRNA from 1 species
AUAUUGGACAAUGGGCGCAAGCCUGAUCCAGCCAUGCCGCGUGUGUGAAGAAGGCUUUCGGGUUGUAAAGCACUUUCAGUGGGGAAGAAGGCCUGUCGGUGAAUACCCGGCAGGGACGACAUCACCCACAGAAGAAGCACCGGCUAACUCCGUGCCAGCAGCCGCGGUAAUACGGAGGGUGCGAGCGUUAAGCGGAAUGACUGGGCGUAAAGCGCGCGUAGGUGGCUUGAUAAGCCGGUUGUGAAAGCCCCGGGCUCAACCUGGGAACGGCAUCCGGAACUGUCAGGCUAGAGUGCAGGAGAGGAAGGUAGAAUUCCCGGUGUAGCGGUGAAAUGCGUAGAGAUCGGGAGGAAUACCAGUGGCGAAGGCGGCCUUCUGGACUGACACUGACACUGAGGUGCGAAAGCGUGGGUAGCAAA